rnacentral:rRNA from 1 species
AACGAACGCUGGCGGCAGGCCUAACACAUGCAAGUCGAGCGAGGACUUCGGUUCUAGCGGCGGACGGGUGAGUAACGCGUGGGAAUGUGCCCUUCUCUACGGAAUAGCCCUGGGAAACUGGGAGUAAUACCGUAUACGCCCUAUUGGGGAAAGAUUUAUCGGAGAAGGAUCAGCCCGCGUUGGAUUAGGUAGUUGGUGGGGUAAUGGCCUACCAAGCCGACGAUCCAUAGCUGGUUUGAGAGGAUGAUCAGCCACACUGGGACUGAGACACGGCCCAAACUCCUACGGGAGGCAGCAGUGGGGAAUCUUAGACAAUGGGGGCAACCCUGAUCUAGCCAUGCCGCGUGAGUGAUGAAGGCCUUAGGGUUGUAAAGCUCUUUCAGCUGGGAAGAUAAUGACGGUACCAGCAGAAGAAGCCCCGGCUAACUCCGUG